GAACCGCGAAGCCGGCAGCGCAGACGCGCAGAAGACCGGCGCCGCCGUCCUGCAAGGGGCGGCUGCC
rnacentral:sRNA from 1 species